GGGUCAGUAGGUUGGUCGUGCCACCGGUACGUACUGGUCUCACUGAUUCCUCCUUCCUGAAGAACCGUAAUGCCAUUAAUUUGGUGUUGCGGGGAAACAGGACUGUUACUUUGAAAAAGUUAGAGUGUUUAAAGCAAGCUAACGCUUGGAUACAUUAGCAUGGAAUAAUGAAAUAGGACGAUCGAUCCUAUUUUGUUGGUUUCUAGGAUUGACGUA
rnacentral:rRNA from 1 species